rnacentral:tmRNA from 1 species
GGGGCUGACUGGCUUUGACAGCGUGUUGAGGUGGUAAGCAAGCAUGCAGAGCGAUAAUGGCAUGGCUCUAUAAUCUCAGUCAUUGACAAAUUUAAAUGGCGAAAACAAUUACGCUCUCGCUGCCUGAUCGAAAAUAGUAGGUCACGCUCAAUCACUGCCAAGGGCGGUGACGAGACAUCACCCAACUGCCCUCGCGCCGAGGCGGGUUGAAACGGUGGUGCCGGAAUAUCGGCGAUAGGACGAAGCCUUCCUCGAGCUAAGUCCGAAAUUUAGAGGAUAAGUUGCCAGUUGGUCGUCCCGGGCCUGCUGUCAGUCGAAAACCAAGCCGGGACUAAGCAUGUAGAAACCUUAUUAGUUCCGCGGUUGGACGAGGGUUCAAACCCCUCCAGCUCCACAG